UGGGGAAUAUUGCACAAUGGGCGCAAGCCUGAUGCAGCCAUGCCGCGUGUGUGAAGAAGGCCUUCGGGUUGUAAAGCACUUUCAGCGGGGAGGAAGGCGAUAAGGUUAAUAACCUUGUCGAUUGACGUUACCCGCAGAAGAAGCACCGGCUAACUCCGUGCCAGCAGCCGCGGUAAUACGGAGGGUGCAAGCGUUAAUCGGAAUUACUGGGCGUAAAGCGCACGCAGGCGGUCUGUCAAGUCGGAUGUGAAAUCCCCGGGCUUAACCUGGGAAAUGCAUUCGAAACUGGCAGGCUAGAGUCUUGUAGAGGGGGGUAGAAUUCCAGGUGUAGCGGUGAAAUGCGUAGAGAUCUGGAGGAAUACCGGUGGCGAAGGCGGCCCCCUGGACGAAGACUGACGCUCAGGUGCGAAGGCGUGGGGAGCAAACAGG
rnacentral:rRNA from 1 species